rnacentral:siRNA from 1 species
UGAACCAGGAUCACUAAGCUU